ACGGAGGGUGCGAGCGUUGUCCGGAAUCACUGGGCGUAAAGGGCGCGUAGGCGGUUCGUUAAGUCGUUGGUGAAAUCCCGGGGCUCAACUCUGGAACUGCCUUUAAGACUGCAUCGCUUGAAUUGUGGAGAGGUAAGUGGAAUUCCGAGUGUAGAGGUGAAAUUCGUAGAUAUUCGGAAGAACACCAGUGGCGAAGGCGACUUACUGGACACAUAUUGACGCUGAGGUGCGAAAGCGUGGGGAGCAAACAGGA
rnacentral:rRNA from 1 species